AGCCUCCUCUUCAUCCUCCUCCUGUUGUUUCUGUCUGCAUUUUGAGCUCAGAUCCAGACUCAAAUCGUUCAAAGAUCAUAACUUUGGACUUUCAAGCUCUGAAUUAUAAUAAGAAGUUAUAGGUCUUCGGGAUUGAAGAUAAAAUUCACAUUCUUUCUGCAAGUUUGAAGACAGCUUUCUGGGAUUUUCGUAGUUUCCGAGGAACAUGAGUGUUUCUUUAUAGUCCCAGUGUUCUAAAUUACUCAGAAGGAGAGCUUAGGAGAAACCCAGAAAUGGAUUCAAUUCACCACCUGAAUUCUGGAUUAACGAGGUACAGUUCUGCUCCAAGCUCAUUUCUGGCCAGCCUUGUUCAAAAUAGCCAUGGCUGUGCAAAUGAGGAAGCUUCUAGAAGAAUAGAUCAUCAUGAUCAUCAGCAUCAUAAUCCAUCUUUCAAGUUCUGAAA